CAAAACUGAGCCCACCAGCAUCUAUGAAUAAUUAUUCAGGAAACUAUUAGAGGACACUGAUCAGCCUUUAUACUUUGAAUUACAAUAAUAAAGCCUUGGAAUAAGAAUGAAUACUGAAUUAGUGAAAGUAAAGGACACUUGGAGUGAGAUAAGGAAACUCCUUGCCAUCAACAUUAAUUUUCUCAUCUGCUAAAUGAAGGGCUCCAAAACGAUUUGACCUCAAUUGCAGAGUUACUUACUGGGGUGAAGAAAAAAAAGCUAAAAUUCCUAUCUAAGGCACUUUCUAUCACCACAUGCUGCAUUAGAACUAAUCAGUCGUUGUCUUCUAAGACCGCAUGCCCCUCCCCCAGAAGUCAAUGGUCUUCUACAUCAGAAUUCCAGGAUGCAGCGUUUAGAACAUUUGGCUGGAGUGGAGAAGGAAAGUUGCUGGCAUCGUGGCUAUUCUUUUGUGG